rnacentral:rRNA from 1 species
AGUCAAGUAAUUAAGUGCAUGUGGUGGAUGCCUUGGCAGUCAGAGGCGAUGAAAGACGUGAUAGCCUGCGAAAAGCUCCGGGGAGGCGGCAAAUAUCCUUUGAUCCGGAGAUGUCUGAAUGGGGGAACCCACCUACUUUAAGGUAGGUAUUGCAACAUGAAUACAUAGUGUUGCAAGGCGAACGAGGGGAAGUGAAACAUCUCAGUACCCUUAGGAAAAGAAAUCAAUUGAGAUUCCCUCAGUAGCGGCGAGCGAACGGGGAUCAGCCCAUUAAGUUAUGUGUGUUUUAGUGGAACGCUCUGGGAAGUGCGAACGUAGAGGGUGAUAUUCCCGUACACGAAAGGGCACACAUAAUGAUGACGAGUAGGGCGAGGCACGUGAAACCUUGUCUGAAUAUGGGGGGACCAUCCUCCAAGGCUAAAUACUCCUGACUGACCGAUAGUGAACCAGUACCGUGAGGGAAAGGCGAAAAGAACCCCUGUGAGGGGAGUGAAAUAGAUCCUGAAACCGCAUGCAUACAAGCAGUGGGAGCACCUUCGUGGUGUGACUGCGUACCUUUUGUAUAAUGGGUCAGCGACUUAUAUUCAGUAGCGAGGUUAACCGUAUAGGGGAGCCGUAGAGAAAUCGAGUCUUAAUAGGGCGUUUAGUUGCUGGGUAUAGACCCGAAACCAGGCGAUCUAUCCAUGAGCAGGUUGAAGGUUGGGUAACACUAACUGGAGGACCGAACCCACUGUCGUUGAAAAGCCAGGGGAUGACUUGUGGAUAGGGGUGAAAGGCUAAUCAAGCCUGGUGAUAGCUGGUUCUCCCCGAAAGCUAUUUAGGUAGCGCCUCGGACGAAUACCAUAGGGGGUAGAGCACUGUUUCGGCUAGGGGGUCAUCCCGACUUACCAAACCGAUGCAAACUCCGAAUACCUAUGAGUACUAUCCGGGAGACAGACUGCGGGUGCUAACGUCCGUAGUCAAGAGGAAAACAAUCCAGACCGCCAGCUAAGGCCCCAAAAUCAUAGUUAAGUGGGAAACGAUGUGGGAAGGCAUAGACAGCUAGGAGGUUGGCUUAGAAGCAGCCACCCUUUAAAGAAAGCGUAAUAGCUCACUAGUCGAGUCGGCCUGCGCGGAAGAUGUAACGGGGCUAAAACUAUGUGCCGAAGCUGCGGAUGUAUACUUUGUAUACGUGGUAGGGGAGCGUUCUGUAAGCCGAUGAAGGUGUGUUGAGAAGCAUGCUGGAGGUAUCAGAAGUGCGAAUGCUGACGUGAGUAACGACAAAACGGGUGAAAAACCCGUUCGCCGAAAGACCAAGGGUUCCAGUCCAACGUUAAUCGGGGCUGGGUGAGUCGACCCCUAAGGCGAGGCCGAAAGGCGUAGUCGAUGGGAAAAUGGUUAAUAUUCCAUUACUUCUGUGUAAUGCGAUGAGAGGACGGAGAAGGCUAAAUCAGCCUGGCGUUGGUUGUCCAGGUGAAAGGAUGUAGGCAUGUAUCUUAGGCAAAUCCGGGGUACUCUAUGCUGAGAUCUGAUAGCAAGCUGUACUUGUACAGCGAAGUGGUUGAUGCCAUGCUUCCAGGAAAAGUCUCUAAGCUUCAGUUACACAGGAAUCGUACCCGAAACCGACACAGGUGGUCAGGUCGAGUAGACCAAGGCGCUUGAGAGAACUCUGCUGAAGGAACUAGGCAAAAUGGUACCGUAACUUCGGGAGAAGGUACGCUGUUGUUGGUGAUGGAACUGCUUCCUGAGCUGACGACAGCCGCAGAAACCAGGCCGCUGCAACUGUUUAUUAAAAACAUAGCACUCUGCAAACACGAAAGUGGACGUAUAGGGUGUGAUGCCUGCCCGGUGCUGGAAGGUUAAUUGAUGGGGUUAGCGUAAGCGAAGCUCUUGAUCGAAGCCCCAGUAAACGGCGGCCGUAACUAUAACGGUCCUAAGGUAGCGAAAUUCCUUGUCGGGUAAGUUCCGACCUGCACGAAUGGCAUAAUGAUGGCGGCGCUGUCUCCAGCAGAGGCUCAGUGAAAUCGAAAUCGCUGUGAAGAUGCAGUGUACCCGCGGCUAGACGGAAAGACCCCGUGAACCUUUACUGCAGCUUGACACUGAACUUUGACCUUACUUGUGUAGGAUAGGUGGGAGGCUUUGAAGCUGGAACGCUAGUUCCAGUGGAGCCGUCCUUGAAAUACCACCCUGGUAAUGUUGAGGUUCUAACUCUGUCCCGUGAUCCGGGACGAGGACCGUGUCUGGUGGGUAGUUUGACUGGGGCGGUCUCCUCCUAAAGAGUAACGGAGGAGUACGAAGGUGCGCUCAGCGUGGUCGGAAAUCACGCGUAGAGUAUAAAGGCAAAAGCGCGCUUAACUGCGAGACCCACAAGUCGAGCAGGUACGAAAGUAGGUCUUAGUGAUCCGGUGGUUCUGUAUGGAAGGGCCAUCGCUCAACGGAUAAAAGGUACUCUGGGGAUAACAGGCUGAUACCGCCCAAGAGUUCAUAUCGACGGCGGUGUUUGGCACCUCGAUGUCGGCUCAUCUCAUCCUGGGGCUGAAGCAGGUCCCAAGGG